AUUGAACGCUGGCGGCAUGCCUUACACAUGCAAGUCGAACGGCAGCACGGGGCAACCUGGUGGCGAGUGGCGAACGGGUGAGUAAUGCAUCGGAACGUGCCAUUGAGUGGGGGAUAACGUAGCGAAAGUUGCGCUAAUACCGCAUAUUCUGUGAGCAGGAAAGCAGGGGACCGCAAGGCCUUGCGCUCUUUGAGCGGCCGAUGUCAGAUUAGCUAGUUGGUGAGGUAACGGCUUACCAAGGCGACGAUCUGUAGCGGGUCUGAGAGGAUGAUCCGCCACACUGGAACUGAGACACGGUCCAGACUCCUACGGGAGGCAGCAGUGGGGAAUUUUGGACAAUGGGCGCAAGCCUGAUCCAGCCAUGCCGCGUGAGUGAAGAAGGCCUUCGGGUUGG
rnacentral:rRNA from 1 species